UUACGGUCAAAUCACGCUGAAAACACCGGUUCUCGUUCGAUCACCGAAGUUAAGCAUCGUAGAGCCAGGUCAGUACUUUUGAUGGGGGGACCGCUUGGGAACACCUGGUAC
rnacentral:rRNA from 1 species